GAUGAACGCUGGCGGCGUGCCUAAUACAUGCAAGUCGAGCGAACGGACGAGAAGCUUGCUUCUCUGAUGUUAGCGGCGGACGGGUGAGUAACACGUGGAUAACCUACCUAUAAGACUGGGAUAACUUCGGGAAACCGGAGCUAAUACCGGAUAAUAUUUUGAACCGCAUGGUUCAAAAGUGAAAGACGGUCUUGCUGUCACUUAUAGAUGGAUCCGCGCUGCAUUAGCUAGUUGGUAAGGUAACGGCUUACCAAGGCAACGAUGCAUAGCCGACCUGAGAGGGUGAUCGGCCACACUGGAACUGAGACACGGCCCAGACUCCUACGGGAGGCAGCGGUAGGUAAUCUUCCGCAAUGGGCGAAAGCCUGACGGAGCAACGCCGCGUGAGUGAUGAAGGUCUUCGGAUCGUAAAACUCUGUUAUUAGGGAAGAACAUAUGUGUAAGUAACUGUGCACAUCUUGACGGUACCUAAUCAGAAAGCCACGGCUAACUACGUG
rnacentral:rRNA from 1 species